GAAUAGGCACAAUUAAAGAGGAAAUUUGUGAACUGAAGACAUAUUAGAGAGGAAAAAACACAUCAAUCAAGCAUGAAGGGAUAAAAUGUCUUGUAGAGAUACCAUCUAAAGAUUCAGCUGCAAAAGAGGGACAAAGUCUAUGUCCAUCUGGGAUUUUGAGACUUUAGAUAAAAGAUGUAGACACUGACUUGGCAGGAAAGUCACACAACAAGAGAAAAAGCUACGGAUUGAAAUCCCACUAAGAUAGUCUCUCCUUUUGGUGCUAACAGUUCAGGG
rnacentral:lncRNA from 1 species